rnacentral:rRNA from 1 species
UAAUCUUAUCUGGUAAAGCGAAUGAUUAGAGGCAUUAGGGCCGAAACGACCUUAACCUAUUCUCAAACUUUAAAUGGGUAAGUACCUCACCUUUCUUGAUAUGAAGGUUGAGGUUGUGAUAUAUUGUGCCCAGUGGGCCACUUUUGGUAAGCAGAACUGGCGCUGUGGGAUGAACCAAACGUAAUGUUACGGUGCCCAAAUUAACAACUCAUACUGAUACCAUGAAAGGCGUUGCUUGCUUAAAACAGCAGGACGGUGGACAUGGAAGUCGUAAUCCGCUAAGGAGUGUGUAACAACUCACCUGCCGAAGCAACUAGCCCUUAAAAUGGAUGGCGCUCAAGUUGUAUACCUAUACAUUACCGCUAAAGCAUAUGAUUUAUAAAUUUUUUUAAAAUUUAUAAAUUUUGAAGCUUUAUUGAGUAGGAGGGUACAAUGGUGUGCGUAAAAUUGUUUGGCGUAAGCAGCCUGCAUGGAGCCGCCAUUGGCACAGAUCUUGGUGGUAGUAGCAAAUAAUCGAAUGAGAUCUUGGAGGACUGAAGUGGAGAAGGGUUUCGUGUGAACAGUGGUUGAUCACGAGUUAGUCGGUCCUAAGUUCAAGGCGAAAGCCGAAAAUUUUUAAGUUUUAUUAUAAAUUUAAAAUUUAUUAUAUUACUUUAAAAAUUUUUGAACGAAAGGGAAUACGGUUCCAAUUCCGUAACCUGUUAAGUAUACGUUUGUUAUUAAAUGUGGGCUUUUAUGCUCAUCCUGGUAACAGAAACAACCAUAAAGAAGCCGUCGAGAGAUAUCGAAAGAGUUUUCUUUUCUGUUUUAUAGUCGUACUACCAUGGAAAUCUUUCGAAGAGAGAUAUGGUAGAUGGACUAGAAGAGCAUGGCAUUUACUGCUGUGUCGAUAUUUUCUCCUCGGACCUUGAAAAUUUAUGGUGGGGUCACGCAAACUUCUUAACAGGCCGUACCGAUAUCCGCAGCUGGUCUCCAAGGUGAAGAGUCUCUAGUCGAUAGAAUAAUGUAGGUAAGGGAAGUCGGCAAAUUAGAUCCGUAACUUCGGAAUAAGGAUUGGCUCUGAAGAUUGAGAUAGUCGGGCUUGAUUGGGAAACAAUAAUAUGGUUUAUGUACUCGUUCUGGAUAAAUUAGGAUUUAUGCAAUUUUUAUUAUAAAAAUUGUAUUUAUCUGUUCCCCGGAUAGAUGUUUACAUAGCCAAUUGUGGAACUUUCUUGCUAAUAAUUUAUAAAAAGGUUUUUUUUUUUAUAAUUAAAAAUUUUUAUUUUUAUAAAUUUAUAACGGCUAUCAAUUAACAAUCAAUUCAGAACUGGCACGGACUUGGGGAAUCCGACUGUCUAAUUAAAACAAAGCAUUGUGAUGGCCCUAACGGGUGUUGACACAAUGUGAUUUCUGCCCAGUGCUUUGAAUGUCAAAGUGAAGAAAUUCAAGUAAGCGCAGGUAAACGGCGGGAGUAACUAUGACUCUCUUAAGGUAGCCAAAUGCCUCGUCAUCUAAUUAGUGACGCGCAUGAAUGGAUUAACGAGAUCCUACUGUCCCUAUCUACUAUCCAGCGAAACCACAGCCAAGGGAACGGGCUUGGAAUAAUUAGCGGGGAAAGAAGACCCUGUUGAGC